rnacentral:rRNA from 1 species
UACAGAGGUCUCAAGUGUUGUUCGGAUUCAUUGGGCGUAAAGGGUGCGUAGGCGGCGCGGUAAGUCGGGUGUGAAAUCUCGGAGCUUAACUCCGAAACUGCAUUCGAUACUGCCGUGCUUGAGGACUGGAGAGGAGACUGGAAUUUACGGUGUAGCGGUGAAAUGCGUAGAUAUCGUAAGGAAGACCAGUGGCGAAGGCGGGUCUCUGGACAGUUCCUGACGCUGAGGCACGAAGGUCAGGGGAGCAAACGGG